rnacentral:rRNA from 1 species
AACGAACGCUGGCGGCAUGCCUAACACAUGCAAGUCGAACGAGACCUUCGGGUCUAGUGGCGCACGGGUGCGUAACGCGUGGGAAUCUGCCCUUUGCUUCGGAAUAACAGUUAGAAAUGACUGCUAAUACCGGAUGAUGUCUUCGGACCAAAGAUUUAUCGGCAAAGGAUGAGCCCGCGUAGGAUUAGGUAGUUGGUGGGGUAAAGGCCUACCAAGCCGACGAUCCUUAGCUGGUCUGAGAGGAUGAUCAGCCACACUGGGACUGAGACACGGCCCAGACUCCUACGGGAGGCAGCAGUGGGGAAUAUUGGGACAAUGGGGCGGAAAGGACCUGAUCCAGCAAUG